UUGCUUCGAAACAUGCUAACCGAAAUUGAAGCAAUCAUAAAUGCAAGACCAUUGACCGAAGUACCACUGGAACACGAAGAAGCCUCACCACUCACUCCUAAUCACAUCCUUAUCGGAUCAUCAAACGGUUCCAAGCCCCCGAUCGCGUUUAACGACAGUGCUGCCGUAGUGAUACGCUCCUGGAAGAUGUCCCAAGUGUACGCGAACGAAUUCUGGCGACGUUGGGUCAUCGAGUAUCUACCAACGCUAACUAGAAGAACGAAGUGGUUCCAGCCUGUAAAGCCCUUAGCAGAAGGGGACAACCUACCCAGGAACACGUGGCCGAAGGGACGAGUUGUUGGAGUCACUGUUUCUAAAGACGGUCAGGUCCGUCGAGCGUCUGUACAAACAGCUAACGGGAUACUUGAGAGGCCAGCAGUUAAGUUGGCAAUUCUGGACGUUGGUUCGAUCGAGAGUAAGUCGGACUAGGGAUCGCGACGUACUGAGGGGGAGUGUUGCAACUGUAGCUGCAACGAACCAACAUGGAAACAUAUAGUUUCAAUUCACCGUACCUCUUGAGUAUCUGCCUACCUCGUGCUACCACUACCGAUACAGCUCUGCGGAACCUUUUUACCUUGUCCGCGUGAACAAGCUCUUAUCAGAACGUAACUCUGUGAUUGAUGAUAAGGCGAGGGAGAUCGAAUACAACUGAAUAGAUCAGGUACAACCGAAGUAAACAAUCCCAACUGGCAAUAAUUGCUAUGUGUAGCGUGGUGAGGCACAGUUUAUCGAAUUUGAUAAUUAAUUUAGCAUACUCUUACCUAAAAUUACAAAUAAUUACAGCUACUUAACUACUUAAGAGUUUGGUGAUGGUAAAUACUGAAUUUGAUUAAAAGAAACGUUGAAUUCUCUAUAAAAUAGUACGGUGUAGUAGAUACAGCAGUUACCGUAGAAUUCAUGCAAGCUAGAAACGUGAACCACAAACAUUAAACACGUUAAAAAGCUUUGCUACUCCCAAUCAGCAUAUUGAGCGCAAAAGGAAACAGAAAGGAUACUAAACGAAUUUUAUAACGUUGAAGUCAAAUAAACGUUCAAGAAAUCGGAAACUGUCUUUCUGUUGCAGUUUGCAACA